rnacentral:rRNA from 1 species
GCCUUCGGGUUGUAAAGCUCUUUCUUCUGUGACGAUGAUGACUGUCCGCGAGGAGGAAGCCACGGCUAACUACGUGCCAGCAGCCGCGGUAAUACUUAGGUGGCAAGCGUUGUCCGGAAUUACUGGGCGUAAAGAAUGCGUAAGUGGUUUUUUAAGUGGGAUGUGAAAUCCCUGGGCUCAACCCAAGAACUGCAUUCCAAACUGGACAACUAGAGUGCGGGAGAGGAAAAUGGUAUUCCCAGUGUAGCGGUGAAAUGCGUAUAGAUUGGGAGGAACACCAUUAGCGAAGGCGAUUUUCUGGAACGUAACUGACGCUGAGGCAUGAAAGCGUGGGGAGCAAACAGGAUUAGAUACCCUGGUAGUCCACGCCGUAAACUAUGAGUACUAGGUGUA